GAUGAACGCUGGCGGCGUGCCUAAUACAUGCAAGUCGAGCGAACAGACGAGGAGCUUGCUCCUCUGACGUUAGCGGCGGACGGGUGAGUAACACGUGGAUAACCUACCUAUAAGACUGGGAUAACUUCGGGAAACCGGAGCUAAUACCGGAUAAUAUAUUGAACCGCAUGGUUCAAUAGUGAAAGACGGUUUUGCUGUCACUUAUAGAUGGAUCCGCGCCGCAUUAGCUAGUUGGUAAGGUAACGGCUUACCAAGGCAACGAUGCGUAGCCGACCUGAGAGGGUGAUCAGCCACACUGGAACUGAGACACGGUCCAGACUCCUACGGGAGGCAGCAGUAGGGAAUCUUCCGCAAUGGGCGAAAGCCUGACGGAGCAACGCCGCGUGAGUGAUGAAGGUCUUCAGAUCGUAAAACUCUGUUAUUAGGGAAGAACAAAUGUGUAAGUAACUAUGCACGUCUUGACGGUACCUAAUCAGAAAGCCACGGCUAACUACGUG
rnacentral:rRNA from 1 species